rnacentral:rRNA from 1 species
AACGAACGCUGGCGGCAGGCUUAACACAUGCAAGUCGAACGCGAAAACCUUCGGGUGAGUAGAGUGGCGCACGGGUGAGUAACGCGUGGGAAUGUACCCUUUAGUACGGAAUAACCUCGGGAAACUGUGGAUAAUACCGUAUACGCCCUUCGGGGGAAAGAUUUAUCGCUAAAGGAUCAGCCCGCGUGACAUUAGGUUGUUGGUGGGGUAAUGGCCUACCAAGCCGACGAUGUCUAGCUGGUCUGAGAGGAUGAUCAGCCACACUGGUACUGAGACACGGACCAGACUCCUACGGGAGGCAGCAGUGGGGAAUAUUGGACAAUGGGGGAAACCCUGAUCCAGCCAUGCCGCGUGAAUGAUGAAGGCCCUAGGGUUGUAAAGUUCUUUAGCAGGUGAAGAUAAUGACGGUAACCUGAGAAUAAGCUCCGGCUAACUUCG